AAGGCAAGUGAAGCUUAAGAAUGCUUUGUCAUUUCUGGGCCAUUGAUAAAAGUCACAGAUGAUCCCGAAGUUUCAGUAGGGGAAGACACAUGCCGUCAAGGACAGAUGGCCAGAACACUGAGGACGGUCAAGAUGGCUCAGCGGGUAAAGGCCCUGGCUGCUAAGGCUGUUGACUUGGAUUCAAUCUCUGGGACUCAUAUAAUGGAAAAAGAGAACCUGCCCCCUGUAAGUGGUCUCCUGAUCACACCAAGUAAAUAAGUGUAAUGCAAGUCUCCAUGUCCUUCGAGACUGGGACACACCUGGGGGAACUGGAAAGAAUGUGCCUCCGUUUAAAAGGUUCACACUGAAGUGGGAACAGCAAUGUGGACAGACUGCAUUGGCUAUCUGGGAAAGAAUGAGUUAAAAAACUGUUUUUCCAGUUUUAAUACAUUAUCCUUUGGCAUUUUUUUUGUAACUUUGAAUUUUUGGAUAUUUUAUUUUUAGUCUGUGUGUGUGUGUGUGUGUGUGUGUGUGUGUGUGUGUGUGUGUAUGUGUGUAGAUCAGAAGGCAGCUUUGGAAGUUGGUUCUCUCCUCCUUCCUUGUGGGUCCUGGAGAUGACACUUAGGUCAUCGGAUUUGGCACCAUUUAUAAAUGCCUUUACCGGCUGAACUGUCUUCGUAUCCCAUGAUUAUUUAAUUUUAAAAAGUGAAAGAUCCAGGCAGGGUGUAGUGGCACACAUCUUUAGUUCCAGCACUGUGGAGGCAGAGGCGAGCAGAUAAUGUGAUUUGAGGGUCAGCCUGCUCCACAUAGUGAGUUCCAGGCUAGCCAGGUCUAUGUAGUGUGACAGUGUCUCAAAAAAAGACAAAUUAAUAUUUAAAAAUGAAGAAAGCUGUUGCAUUAUUGAUUUUAGAAAUUCUCCUUCUGUGUUGGGCUGGAAGUUGAGUUUCUUUGUCUUUAGACAAAGAACUGAGACCAGAUUAAAAGUCCUGUGAGUGUAAAGAAGGAAAACAGCUUUUUAUGCAUAGUUCUUUAAAAGGGGUGGAACCAGAAAACCCUUUGUCCUCUUGUGUUUAUUUAAGACAUUCUACUGGAAGAUUUGAGGCUCUGGGCUUUGGAUUUUUCAUGUUUUCUAAUGUUAGUGUAAACAGAGCUGCGAUACACACACAAAUGAAUAUAAUUAUUAUUUCUCUUGCUAGUCAUUUUCUAUUAUUUCUUUGUGUGAAUUUGUUCAAAAGAAAAAAAACCCUUUUUGUAAUGACUGUUUGAGUUUAAAAAUCAAUAAAUCUCAUCAGGAGUUGUGGCACACACCUUUAAUCCCAGCACUCAAGAGGCAGAGGCAGAUGGAUCUCUUGAGUUCGAGGCCAGCCUGGUCUACAUAGUAAGUUUUAGUAUAGCUAGAGCUACAUGAGAGACUCUGUUUCCAAAAGAAACCCAACGCCCCCUCCCCCCCC